rfam:Triticum aestivum genome assembly, contig: Triticum_aestivum_CS42_TGACv1_scaffold_158012_2DL
UUGAUACUCCCUCCGUCCGGAAUUACUUGUCACAGAAAUGGAUGUAUCUAGACGUAUUUUUAGUUCUAGAUACAUCCAUUUCUAUACAUUUCUGCGACAAGUAAUUCGGGAUGGAGGGAGUAUUUG